rnacentral:rRNA from 1 species
GAUGAACGCUGGCGGCGUGCCUAAUACAUGCAAGUCGAGCGAACGGACGAGAAGCUUGCUUUUCUGAUGUUAGCGGCGGACGGGUGAGUAACACGUGGAUAACCUACCUAUAAGACUGGGAUAACUUCGGGAAACCGGAGCUAAUACCGGAUAAUAUUUUGAACCGCAUGGUUCAAAAGUGAAAGACGGUCUUGCUGUCACUUAUAGAUGGAUCCGCGCUGCAUUAGCUAGUUGGUAAGGUAACGGCUUACCAAGGCAACGAUGCAUAGCCGACCUGAGAGGGUGAUCGGCCACACUGGAACUGAGACACGGUCCAGACUCCUACGGGAGGCAGCAGUAGGGAAUCUUGCGUAAUGGGCGAAAGCCUGACGGAGCAACGCCGCGUGAGUGAUGAAGGUCUUCGGAUCGUAAAACUCUGUUAUUAGGAAAGAACAUAUGUGUAAGUAACUGUGCACAUCUUGACGGUACCUAAUCAGAAAGCCACGGCUAACUACGUG